UACGGGGGGGCAAGCGUUGUUCGGAAUUACUGGGCGUAAAGAGCUUGUAGGCGGUUUGUCGCGUCUGCCGUGAAAAUUCGAGGCUCAACCUCGAACUUGCGGUGGGUACGGCAGACUAGAGUGUGGUAGGGGAGACUGGAAUUCCUGGUGUAGCGGUGAAAUGCGCAGAUAUCAGGAGGAACACCGAUGGCGAAGGCAGGUCUCUGGCCACUACUGACGCUGAGAAGCGAAAGCAUGGGAGCGAACAGG
rnacentral:rRNA from 1 species